rnacentral:tRNA from 1 species
GGAUUGUGGCUCAGCGGUAGAGCGUUCCCCUAGCACGGGUGGGACCCCGGUUCAAUCCUCAGCACCA